UGGACAACUAAACAUUCACUCUUAAGUACAACUCCAAUAAACUUGAAACAUAAAUUUGUCCAAUAAAAGAAACAAAAUACUUGUUCUAAAUAUCCAUUCUUAAUAUCACACCAACUCAAACAAAAGAUUCAGCCGUCUCAAAACUCAAAAGAGACCAUGACUACACUAUAUACACAGAAUGACGGAUCUUCCCAAAAUAAUUUUCUAGUUCAAUCCAAUCACUCUUCAAUCUCCGACUCCUGUAAGGAAAACAAAACUAAAAGGGUGAGCUUACGCCCGUGAGGUUUCCAUGCAAGCAACAAUCAAUAAGCACUUAAAUCAGUACAGUUAAGCAAGUAGUGCACAUUUCACUGUACAAUCACUUUCAUUAAUCAAUUGAAGAAGCACUUCACUUCACUGAACAAUCACUUUUAAAAGGAUACGGUGCUCGCAUUAGAGCCACUUCAAUGCACUACACAUUCCGCCGAACUCCUCCUUAUAACCUCCAAAACAAUAAACACUUCCCUCACUUAGAUGGCCAUAUCAAUAUCAGUAAUCUGCUACUCCAUGGUAAUACUUGAGUAUACCGAAACACUUACCCAAAGCUACCGUCCUAUCCGACCAAACCCUUUACUGGCUUGAAUAGUCCGUUGAACAGAGGGUUUUGGAGCCCAGUUCAGCCAGUGUGAUAAAGUACACACAUGGCUUACAGUCAUGCACACUUACAAUAUCACUUGAUCAAUUAUCAACCUUCAAGCUCAACUAAGCCGAGUGCGAUAAAGUACACUGUGAGAACCCGUAAUCCCCUAAUAUUUUUCCUAGGGUUUUUCCCCUUAAUUGCAUGUUUUCUGUAUUUUCUGGCUUAGAAAAAUUUUCUUGGUGGAUUUUAUGGGUCAUUAUAGUUUUUAGAUGAUUUUUCUAGCAUUGGGUAGUUUUUGAAAACUUAAGGAUAUAUAAUGGAUGUGGGACCCACUAGUGCGAAAAGUUCGGAAAAAUUCGGCCAAUUAGGUUAAGUUUCGGAUACUGGUUGAAAUUUAUCGGGUGUUAAGAGAUAAGUAGAGAAUGAGAUGUGAUUGAUGUGAGAGGAAACAAAAGGAUAGAAAUGCAUUUAAUGGAGGUGACAAGAGUCACCAUUGUAUUGGAAAUAGCUUAUGACUUACUAUUCAUUUUCUUGACUUUUGACCAAUUGCUUAAAUAUCUCAAAAAUCACACAAAAUUCAUUCUUGUCUUCAACCUCUUGGCCGAUUCUCUCUCUAGCAAAGAAGGAAGAAAAACCUCUUCAAAGUUUGGCAAUUCUCUAGCUCAAAUCAUCCAAAACACUUGCUUGAACUAGUUUCUACUCCAUAAAAUCCUUCCAUUAGGUGCUAGUGAGUUGUUUGGUGAAGUUUUUUGGAGAAGCUAAGGUGUUCUACAACUUCCUCUCUCUUGUUUACUUGGUAAGUGGUGCUUACACUUCCUCUUACACCUAAUGAUGUUUAAUUUAUGCCUCAUGGUGGCUAUAGUGUUGGAAAUUGUGGUUUAUUUCUUGGUUUGGAAUGAAUUGGUGAAGUUUUAUUUUUUUUGAGGAAUUUUCUGGUUUAAUGUGAUCAUGGUCUUGUGACUGACUGAGUCCCGGCGAGAGGUGGGGAGGUGGGGCUGUUACAUACACUCCCGACUUAGAAGGCGAGGGACAAUUGAAAACACUUCACAAUGAAUCACUUAGCAAUAUUUCAUAAUAAGCACAUUCGCCAUAUAAUUGCACUUAGGUACACAUAAGCAGUUUAACACAUAAAUUCGGAAAACACUCACCGUUAAAGGUCAAUUAAGCUUCGCUUUCUGGGUUAAACCCUUGAUCACUCUCAAUUCCUGAGGUAAAAUAAAACUACAAUCAUUCAGGUAUUCUUAAUGUGAAUCCUAAUAGGUUUAUUUAGAGUUUUAAAAUUUCCUAAACAUAGUUCAACCAAUCCAAGCAGUCUAAUACUCUUAAAACUCCCAUUUGAUUUGAUUCACACUUUUAAGUUUAGGAAUUUUAUGUACAACCCCAAACAUAAGUUCUAAAGUUCUAAAAUGUAAGGAGAGAAGUUUUAAGCUUUUUAAAUCACUAGAAACCAAGUUCCUUAGCUUACUAAAUAAGAUGUGAAAUUCCAGCAAUUCUUUCUUCCAUUUCUCUUCGAGAUUUAUUAAGUUUAUUAACUAAGAAUGAUGAAUAUAUACAUAUACACCAAAUUUAAAGUCUUGUGAAGUAUUUAGACUAAGAUUAUAUCAUUUUCAAUACAACUUAAAGAGUAGAACUGGAAAACUUUUCAUUUCUUCUCUCUCGGCCAAAACAAUUUCCAAUCCAAUUUGUUGUUUAAGUUCUCUCAGAUUUCAUUAGCUUUUCAGGUCUCAAAUUCACUAAAAUGAACGUGAAUGAUAGAGUCAAGAUGUUAGAAGAUGUUUUAUACAAGAUUACAACCAAUCAUCCUGGAAUUUUUUUCGAAAUAUCAUAAGAGUUUCAAUUCUUCACUCUCUCGGUAAGCAAGACAAUUUUCCAGCAAUACCACUUCAAAAAUUUCCACAAACUGCCACCUUUUACUUGCUUAAAACACUAAACACUGAGUAUACAUUCUGUCCAACACAAACCAAGGCAAAUAACACUUAAUUCCAGCAUAUGGUUCAGCCAAAAAAUCAAAGAACAAAACUGAACCAAGGUUUAUAUCCUCUCUCGGCCAUAGGGUUGAAUUCUAAACAGUAAUCAGUGCAAAAGACAAGAAUUUCUUCCACUAAACCCAUCAUUUUUUUUUACUCAAAUCUUUCAUGCAUGAAAAAAUCGAGAUAUUAUACAACAUACAGAUUAAUACAGAAUUUUAGAGUCAUUCUUCGCAAUGACAGCUGAAACUUUUCCAUUUCCCUCCAUUCGGAUGAAGCUGGAAAAUUCCAGCAAGGUUCUUCCAUCGGUUCCAAACCAAAUCUCCAACUUUUCACAAGUUUCUACAGCUAAACCUCUUAUAAUACUUGAGAUAUAUAUGUUACAUGAAUUUCCAACGUUAUUUUCCAUUCUACACUUGUUAACAAGCUGCAACUCUAACCAAUGAACUUUCGGUUCCUACCAGUUUCAGUCCAACAACUUUUCAAUCCCAAAUCAGAAUUUUCCUUGGUCAAGAAUUCAUUUUCCUUGCUAAACUUAACAUGCCACUUAUAUAUUCGCUUAUACUUAAUAAGUAAAGGUUUAUUACAGAAUUUUUUCACCUCCUUUCCUUUAGGAUUCAACAGUUGCAGACUGCUCCAGUUUUUAAGCUUCGGUUCCUCCAGAUUGCACCAGCUCUCACUCUGUUCCCUCACUGAUGCAGUUGAUACGUGAGUUGCAGACUGGUUUCACCUCUUUGUACUCACUCUUAGCUCACGAUUCUAAGGUCACAAGCGAGAUGAAUGCAGCUAACACUGUCUAACUCUCUCCUCCUCACUCUUUCGGUUGCACUGGAAGCAAGAGAAAAUCAGAAAUGCUUCCUUUCCUCCCUUUUGAUGGUGUACGGAGAUGAGAGAAAUAUGUCUUAGUUUCUCUCGGUCUUGCUCUCACUCUCUUUCACUCUUGCUUUCUUUCCUCACUCUCUCUAUUUCCUCUCACUCGGUGGUAUUUGGAAAUGCAUGGGUGUGACCGAAACUCUCCCUCAGUUUUGUUUCUAAUACUGGAUUGGUAAGAAGAGAAAUGAACAUAUUUCCUUCACUCAGCCGACCACUCAAACCUCUUCAUUCGGUGCUGAUCAUUCCAACUCUCA
rnacentral:lncRNA from 1 species